rnacentral:rRNA from 1 species
GAGUUUGAUCCUGGCUCAGGACGAACGCUGGCGGCGUGCCUAACACAUGCAAGUCGAACGAAGCUUGACGAAUGAUUUCUUCGGAAUGAAAUCUGAUAUGACUGAGUGGCGGACGGGUGAGUAACGCGUGAGCAACCUGCCCUUCGGAGGGGGAUAGUGUCUGGAAACGGACAGUAAUACCGCAUAACGUAUUUUUACCGCAUGAUAGAAAUACCAAAACUGAGGUGCCGAAGGAUGGGCUCGCGUUGGAUUAGAUAGUUGGUGGGGUAACGGCCUACCAAGUCGACGAUCCAUAGCCGGACUGAGAGGUUGAACGGCCACAUUGGGACUGAGACACGGCCCAGACUCCUACGGGAGGCAGCAGUGGGGAAUAUUGCACAAUGGGGGAAACCCUGAUGCAGCAACGCCGCGUGAAGGAAGACGGUUUUCGGAUUGUAAACUUCUGUUCUUAGUGAAGAAGAAUGACGGUAGCUAAGGAGCAAGCCACGGCUAACUACGUGCCAGCAGCCGCGGUAAUACGUAGGUGGCAAGCGUUGUCCGGAAUUACUGGGUGUAAAGGGAGCGCAGGCGGGAAGCCAAGUCAGCUGUGAAAACUACGGGCUUAACUUGUAGACUGCAGUUGAAACUGGUUUUCUUGAGUGAAGUA